AGAAACUCAUUGCUGUAAUACUUUUAUUUCCUACAGUUAGAGGAAAAUCCUAUAGUGAAAAGAACAGAGAUCUCGGCAAGUAAUGUCACCAUUUACUUGGACAAGCUCACUCACAAAGAUGAACACUUUGUUUUUGUGCUGAAUCAAGAAACGCAUGUGACAAAUCUGCACCCUGCAAACGUUGCAGUUUAUGAUUAUUAUGUUCCAGAUGUACAUGAUGUAGAAGAAUAUAACUCUCCUUGUAAUGCAAUGACAGGUCACUGCAAAGUCGGUGUCUCCCAGAGGUCAGAUUGUGGGCAUCCAGGUAUUACCAAGGAGGAGUGUGAGCAGAAAGGCUGCUGCUACGAUUCCAGUAUUGCUCAGUCCAAGUGGUGUUUCUUCCAAGGAUUUGAAAAAGAAGAAUCUCACUAAUAAAGAAUCUAUCUGAAGACAUCACACACUGUGUCCUCUGUGACAACGAAUACUUACACUCUACUCACAAGUAGCAGACAGGAAAAUAACUCCAUCAUGGACCCAGGAUAAAGGAUUCUGUUUCCUGUAAUGCAACAUUCAAUAAACAAUACACAGUGUAA